rfam:Thermobacillus composti KWC4, complete genome.
UAGCUGGUGCAAGUCCAGCCGGGGUAAAGGCCAAGCUGCCCCGUAGCUAGCAGGCAACUUAGGGAGAAAUCCGUGGGUUGAAGCCCUGGGGCGGCCAACCGAUUUCUGGCGAAGAUCGACUGGUACCUCAUCAAGA